GCUGUGGGGUCGGCGCGCAUGCGCGGCCCUUGGCUGGGCCCGGGCGCACCUUUUCUCCCUCCUGCCACAAUGUGAGCGCUCAGCCGCGCAGAUAACUGCCGGCUGCCUGCUCCACCCCCGGCCCUCGCCCACUCCGCCCACUGCCGAGCGCCCAGGUGGAGAGGAUAUCUUCAAGCAGAAUGGGAGAAAGUGAGUUCUCCCGUGUGGACAGGUGGCAAUCCUGCAGAAGGCUUUCCCACAUUCUUUGGAUUCCCGGGUUCUUCCUAAGGUGCACACUGCUAUUUGGAACCACGGGGACCGCAGGUUUCCCCAUAGAGGAUGCUGAAUUCGGGAAUGGAGAAACAUUUUCCACUGGAGAACAAUGCGGUGCCUUCAGGAUCAUGCCAUGUGAGCAUCUCAUUAGAAUGUUCUCCUUCCUCCCAGCAAGGCAUCACUUUGUGAUGUGAAGCACCGAGGAAGGAAAGCUCUAUGAGACCACAGUGGGCAGCGCAGCCGUGAACUUGCUCUGUCUGACCCCUCACUGCAUCUGUCUCCCUUAGUGUCUGUCCUCCCUGGUCAAGCAUGCCCCUGACUCUGCGGCAGGAGGCCUACCUUCCCCCAACAUCAAAAGAACUACUUUGUGAGUAUCACAGGACCUGGUCCAUAGCCUCUAUAAUGUACAUGCUUGUCAAAUGAAUUGGCUAUAAACAUGGAAAGGAUUCC